AUUGAACGCUGGCGGCAGGCCUAACACAUGCAAGUCGAGCGGAUGAGAAGAGCUUGCUCUUCGAUUCAGCGGCGGACGGGUGAGUAAUACCUAGGAAUCUGCCUGGUAGUGGGGGACAACGUUUCGAAAGGAACGCUAAUACCGCAUACGCCCUACGGGGGAAAGCAGGGGACCUUCGGGCCUUGCGCUAUCAGAUGAGCCUAGGUCGGAUUAGCUAGUUGGUGAGGUAAUGGCUCACCAAGGCGACGAUCCGUAACUGGUCUGAGAGGAUGAUCAGUCACACUGGAACUGAGACACGGUCCAGACUCCUACGGGAGGCAGCAGUGGGGAAUAUUGGACAAUGGGCGAAAGCCUGAUCCAGCCAUGCCGCGUGUGUGAAGAAGGUCUUCGGAUUGUAAAGCACUUUAAGUUGGGAGGAAGGGUACUUACCUAAUACGUGAGUAUUUUGACGUUACCGACAGAAUAAGCACCGGCUAACUCUGUG
rnacentral:rRNA from 1 species